GGGCGGUUAGCUCAGCUGGUUAGAGCACCUGCCUUACAUGCAGGGGGUCACUGGUUCGAGUCCGGUACCGCCCA
rnacentral:tRNA from 1 species